rnacentral:lncRNA from 1 species
GCGCUCGUUCUCCUUUUCUAGCAGGAGUGUGUGUCGGUGGGUCUCUCUACUACGACAACGUGCCUUGUGCUUUGAGUUCGCAGGUGAGUUGGUUCUCGAGUACAGUCAAGGCUAGUGUAGGUCUAGCUUGUGGUUCAAAGGGCGGUUUUCGGUGCCUCCUCAGUGGCCUCCUGCUCUGCCUCUUCACUUUGAAUCCUCUCUUCCCGAUUCCCUGGCUUGUCCAUUCUCUGGAGGCGUAUGUUCUUCGGUUAGGUACGUGAUCUGGUCUUCAUAAAGUCCUUGCUGUUGCUAGCGGAAAAUUGUUUCAGCACUGGAGUUAGCUAGUUGGUUCUCAAAGGCUUCAAGCGUGCAAGUGGUUCUCGUGUCUUUGACUGCUUGC